CCAACUGGUAUUCGGCUAUUUUCGCUUUUUAGGCAAAUUUUUUAAAAAAUUCACGUUAAUUUAAAUACAACCUAGACCCGGGACGACGUUGUACUUAUGAAACAUAAUACAAGUUAACCUGGGAAGAGGUCAGGGAAGGGCAACAAAAAGUUAGUAUGUAUCACCAUGCUCGACAGCAUGACUACAUGUAUUAAUGUAACUGUUUCUCUUUUAUUACUUGCAGAGUAAUGAAUUACCCAAUGGGUUAUAGCAUAUGCUUGCCAUUUAUAAAACAACGCCUCCAUCCAUGAUCGUACGCAUUUAAUAUUUUGCAACGUGAAAUUCAUCCUUGAACAAAAUUUAAAAUUUUAGGCCUACUAAAUAUCUUGAAUUAACAUUUAAGGUCGAUUUUGAUCACAUGAAACGUGUACAACUGUUCUAAAUUUUAACGAGCUUGUUCGAAAACGCAUGCUGUACAAAAAAGCAAGGGGAAACUUCAUUCUAGUCAAUACACAAGCAAGCGAACUGAAUUAAGUAAUAGGGGAAGAUGUCCUAUUAGGGUAAAUAUUUAGGCAAGUAGCCAGGCCCAUCCAUACCUACACAUACAAUACUAAAAACAAAAUUUAGGAAACUAUUCCCGCAAUAAAUACGAUAUUGAAUGUAUUGUGAAGCUAAACAAGGAAAAGCUUAUUCUGAUUAAAAAACAAUUAGACAAGUAGCGAAACCUAUCAAUUCAUCAUUAAAAAAGUAUUUUGGGGAAUAACCUUACGCAAUAUAAAAAAAGAACAGAAUAAAAAAACGUCAAACGAUCACUUUUUUCUAUUCAAAAAUCGAAAGGGCGAGUAGCACACGCGUGCGUAUAUCAUUGCAUGUGCAUACAUCAAAGAUUUUGUUAAAGCUCUCUCGCACCAAAUGAAAUGUUCAAUGUUCUAGUAAGCAAAUAAAAAAACCUUUCUUCUACUCUGUAAACAGGCAAGGGAGCAAAAGAUCCUGCAAUACAACCUAACAAAGAGAUCUAAUAAAAACGACAUCGCGAAAGGUGAAGUAUUAAAUCUCUUGGUCGGCCAAUUCGAGACUUUAUUUCACUCAGAAAACAGGCACGAGAGUGUGAGACCCAUCCAUACAUCAUUUAAAAUGAGAAUUUUGGAAGUUGCUUUUCACGCUGAAUAAAAAGUUAGAUAUCCAUCCAUACACUACUAAAAAGGAGAUUUAGAUAAUAUCAGAUGUCCUAACAUGUGAAUUCACAGGAAGACUUUAUCCCACUCAGUAAGAAGCAGGAACGGGGGAGACUGAUUCAUACCACCAUACAAUAUUAAAAAGAUAUUUUGCAAAACCUUCCUUCAGGCGGAAAAAACAUACAGCAUGUCGUAGCAGACCUGUGUAUACAACAUUAGUUCUCCUCAGUAAACAACAAAGAAAAUGAGAGAUCCAUCCAUACCUUAUAAAAAUAGAGAUUCUAUCGAUAUACAUGCAUCAUUUAAAAAACGCAUUUUUUUAAUUUACCCUUCUCGCGAAUUAAAAUAUUCAGCACGCCAACCUGGUAGAAAACUUUAUGCUAGACACUAAACAAGGAGUGAUGUUUGAUGCCCAUCCAUACACCACUAAGAAGGAGAUUUUGGAAAAAAGUCGCAAAUACGCUUGUACGAAAUAAUAAAUUAGAUGUUCUAACAGCUCAAUUCAUGGAAUACUUUAUUUUUUAUCUUAACACAGUAAGUUUGCUGGAAUGUGGGACACCUAUACAUACAUUUAUCAAAGGAGAGAUAUUAAAACAAACAGUAGAUUUGGAUAACUAUCCAUACACAAAUAAAAACGAUAUUUUAGAAAAAUAAUUGUGUGUCAUGUUUUUUUUGCUGUUUAUAGGAAGCAGUGUAAUUUGAUUUUGAACUUUUAAUAUUUUUAAAACUAAAACCUCAUGACAACAAUGAUAAAAAAGUAUAUGGACUUUUUUUGUUCGUAGCUGUUAGAAAAACUAAUAUUGCUAAUAUUUAUAGGACACAUUUUAAUAGCAGACGAUGUUUUAUACUGUAUAAAUAUUCAUUAUAAAUAAAUGAAUGAAUAAAAAAUGAAUAAAUAAAUAAAUAAACUAUUCGGAGGAACAUAGUUAUUAAUAUAGUGUAACUAGCUAUAUAAAAUUGAGUUAUGACUGCAUCUUUUACGUUUUUCCGGCAAUGUUAAUUGUCUACAUUUAUAACGACGAUAUGGUUGCUACGAAGUUAAGUUAUAUUGCGCUGUACAAGGCCUGUUCUUAAAGCUCUCUAGCCAUUGAACGCUACGACUUUCUCAUAACCGGUUGAAAAUAGCUAUUAGUUAAUAAUAGGGUAAAUAGAAUUUGAUUUAGCUAAUAUUGCGUGUAUUUCGACUCCUAAAAAGAAAUAGUACUGUAGCAUUUUUUUUGCAAAACAGGAAAAUUUGUUGAGUUAUUUCUAAAAGGUUUUUUAGUAACACUAAUUGACCAACGCAGUUCACAAGAUAGCGUAUAGCUCUGAAUAGACCAUUUCGGAGAUUAUGCGCCAUUAUGAAUUUGCGGAACUCGGUGGUGCAAGUUGAACUUUGGACUUCACGUUUAUUCAGUCAUUUGCCUUGCGAAACUGCUGGCGGCAGGACAGUUUUGAUUUUUGAUAUCUGUUUUUAUCUUUGUGAUACUAAUUUUAUGAUAUAUAUUUUGAAAAAAACUUUUAUUAGGCACUUAUUUGUACUUUUAAUUUCUUUUUGUACAAUAAAGGCAACUUAAUAUAUCCUAAAAGCCUUUAAACUAGCUAGCUAGCUAGAGGUCUCCCAAAAAUGCUUUUAGGACACUGUACUGUAGCUAGCUAUAAGGCUGUAAUUAGUAAUUAAUGCUUGGUUAAAGAGAGAAAUUUUUGAUUUUGGAAAUACCUUACUGGAUUUGGACUUGAACUAUGUUUUUGGAUUUGUAAAGAAAUGUUUAGGUUGUAAUAUUUGUAAAGAUCUAGAGAGUUAUAAUCCAUUGUCAAAAUACUUGUCAAAACUCUAUAGUGUUAUUUAUUCCUAAAGUGAAACUUAAGCUCGCAAAAUAAUCUGGCUUCUUUUCUAUAACGGAUGUAAAAAUUUUCAAUACACUGCCCAUAGAGAUACGGUAACAGGUUCAGUCGCAGAUUUUAGGAAUAGAGUCAUGAGUCAUUUUAAUUGCAAAUAAUUUUUAUUAUUUUGAUAUUUUUAUAAUUUUGUUUCUCGGUGUAUGUUUGACCCUUGAUUCGUCUACUUAAACACUCCUAUCUUUGAGUCUUUCAAGAGUGGUAUUAGAAAGAAUACCUGUCUUUCUUCCCUGCUUUCGCUAUUGCCCUAUAUUUUUUUUGUACGCUUCUCUUAUUGAAAAAUAUCAAAAAGGGAGAAAUGAGUUUAGUUUACAGACUAAAGUGUUAUUCAAUUUUUUGUUUUUCUAUGUUAUUUGUUUCAGUCACAAUGUAUAUUUUACAUGAUUUUUUGUUAUAUAUACGUAUGUCUUUGUCGGUUUCUUUAUCAGAACACGCAAUUAUAGCAGUAACUUAUUACUAAAGUGUAAAUCUUUAUGAUAAAUAAAUAAAUUACUCUGUGAA